UACGGAGGGGGCUAGCGUUGUUCGGAAUUACUGGGCGUAAAGCGCACGUAGGCGGACCGACAAGUCGGGGGUGAAAUCCCGGGGCUCAACCCCGGAACUGCCUCCGAAACUGUCGGUCUGGAGGUCGAGAGAGGCGAGUGGAAUUCUGAGUGUAGAGGUGAAAUUCGUAGAUAUUCGGAGGAACACCAGUGGCGAAGGCGGCUCGCUGGCUCGAUACUGACGCUGAGGUGCGAAAGCGUGGGGAGCAAACAGG
rnacentral:rRNA from 1 species